rnacentral:rRNA from 2 species
GGGCUGUGCGCGUGCUAUACAUGCAGUCGAGCGAAUGGAUUAAGAGCUUGCUCUUAUGAAGUUAGCGGCGGACGGGUGAGUAACACGUGGGUAACCUGCCCAUAAGACUGGGAUAACUCCGGGAAACCGGGGCUAAUACCGGAUAACAUUUUGAACCGCAUGGUUCGAAAUUGAAAGGCGGCUUCGGCUGUCACUUAUGGAUGGACCCGCGUCGCAUUAGCUAGUUGGUGAGGUAACGGCUCACCAAGGCAACGAUGCGUAGCCGACCUGAGAGGGUGAUCGGCCACACUGGGACUGAGACACGGCCCAGACUCCUACGGGAGGCAGCAGUAGGGAAUCUUCCGCAAUGGACGAAAGUCUGACGGAGCAACGCCGCGUGAGUGAUGAAGGCUUUCGGGUCGUAAAACUCUGUUGUUAGGGAAGAACAAGUGCUAGUUGAAUAAGCUGGCACCUUGACGGUACCUAACCAGAAAGCCACGGCUAACUACGUGCCAGCAGCCGCGGUAAUACGUAGGUGGCAAGCGUUAUCCGGAAUUAUUGGGCGUAAAGCGCGCGCAGGUGGUUUCUUAAGUCUGAUGUGAAAGCCCACGGCUCAACCGUGGAGGGUCAUUGGAAACUGGGAGACUUGAGUGCAGAAGAGGAAAGUGGAAUUCCAUGUGUAGCGGUGAAAUGCGUAGAGAUAUGGAGGAACACCAGUGGCGAAGGCGACUUUCUGGUCUGUAACUGACACUGAGGCGCGAAAGCGUGGGGAGCAAACAGGAUUAGAUACCCUGGUAGUCCACGCCGUAAACGAUGAGUGCUAAGUGUUAGAGGGUUUCCGCCCUUUAGUGCUGAAGUUAACGCAUUAAGCACUCCGCCUGGCGAGUACGGCCGCAAGGCUGAAACUCACAGGAAUUGACAGGAGCCCGCACAACCGGUGGAGCAUGUGGUUUAAUUCAAAUCAACGCGAACAACCUUACCAGGUCUUGGCAUCCUCUGAAAACCCUAAAGAUAGGGCUUCUCCUUCCGCAACAGAGUGACAGGUGGUUCAUGGUUUGUCGUCUCCUCCUCUCCCAAAAUUUUGGGUUUAAUCCCCCCACCCACCCCACCCCUUGAUCUUAUUUGCCUUCUUUAAAUUUGGCCCC